UGUUGGUGAAGCGCCGGGGCUGCUAAUGCUCCCUCCCCUCUUCCUCUUUGGCUCUCUCUCUCUCUUUUUCCAGACACCUUAAGGAAUUCAACAACCCCUCCCCUGCACACAGGCUUCUUCCAGCCAGAUGCCAUGUUGCAAGAUUUCCUCUGGAGAGGGCCUCUUGGCAAGGAACUGAUGUCUCUGGCCAGCAGCCAGCGAGGACCUAAGAUCUGUCAACAGCCAUGCUUAUGGCUGGUCUAGCAGAGCCAGGUGCCAGGCCUGGCGGGAGCAUCCUUGUCUCUUAACUGACAGUGCCUCCACCUGGCCUUGCAGCUCCACUCGACAAAUACUAAAUAACAGGCUCUGGCAUCUCCUGAAGCUCUGCACUCAUUAACACACUGGGAGGAAGGUAGAAGUUCCAUGGCUUUGGGCCCAGAUGAGAGAAGACCCUGAGUUGAGUGGAAGCAGCAGUGCCCCUCCUUGGCCCCUGCCUGGAGAUGGAGGCCACUAGGACCUGGAGAAGGAGGUAAUAGACCCACGCAGAGUGACUGGCCACUUGGAUGUCUGAGUUAAAAGGAAAUAGGUUGUCAGAGCUUGAAGGCAAAUUAUCGGUCUUCUUCCUCUUUAUUCCUCCAGCACCCAGCUGGGAGCAGAAGGGACAAUGAAUUGUGACUCGGAAAUUAAUCAGAUGAGACCUGAUGACUGAAGUACAUCACAGAGCUAGGAAGAGAGAUUACUAAGCAACACGCCCUUUUUUUCAGACAUCUCAGUUGACAACCUGAGCAAUAGCUCUGACCUGGAAGCAUCCAGCUUUGUAGCCAAAGAGAAAAAGCGCAGACCUUUGUCCCAGAAUUCUCAUCAAAAGUGUCUUUCAUCUCAUUGGCCCUGUGACCAUCUGAUCCAAGCCUGCAAUCUGACCCUUCCCUCAAUGUUGACCUCAUCCAGGAAGUGCCUCUCUCCCUUCAGGAAGACCCACAUCUGAAUCACCUCAGCAUCCAGGAUCCUGCCUUGUCCCCAGCCCUCACGGUCCAAAUGCCCUGGCAGAUCUGUCCUGACCUGUUCCUAUUAAAGGGGCUCAGUUAAA
ensembl:lncRNA LINC02682 long intergenic non-protein coding RNA 2682